AAUACUCUCCUUAGUGUUGUGUGUGUGUGUAUGGUGAUUGUGAACGCAGCCUGAGGCUGACUCCUUCCCCCAACCAACUCCCUAAUCAGGCCAGGUUAUAUGAGGCACCUGUGUGUCAUUGUUCAGGCAGUGGGUCUUCUGCUCUGUCCCUGCUGUGGCUGGUGUCCUGUGUUCCAGGUAUGAUUAGUGAAGAAACCCUCAUAAUUCCCAUGUUAAGUGGCAUUUUUCUUUUAAAGGUUGAUUUGUUUGUGUUCAGAGUGUUUGCUGCAACUUUGGGAACCCCCUAUCUGCUCCCUGCCCUGAAAGUGACUUGAUGCCCUAGCUAGAGGUGGUGAGUAGGAGCACAGCUUUAAUAAUUUUUAAUGUAAUUUGGGCCUGGUUAAUAGUUUGUUCCCUUUUCCAGGUUCUCCUGCCCUACCUACUGCUGCUUUGUCCCCUUUUGUGUUCAUUAAUUGAGUCUCUUUAGUUACCUUAUUUUUCUUGUUUUGUUAGGGUUUUAUUUAGUGGGUUUUCUUUGAUUUUCUUUAAGGUUCAGUUUCCUGGGUUAUCCUCUUUAAAUAUCUGUUAACAAUCAACUGGGUUAUAUUACAUUGUUCAUUGGUUUAUUUCCUGGUUACUUUAUUUCUUAACUCGUUUACUGAUCUGCUUGGGUCCUUUGUUUAAUUUACUGGGUUAUUGUAUCCAUUUCUUUUAAUACUUUAAUUCAUUUUGGCUAUUUUGAUUACUUCAUUCUAUUACUUUAUUACAUUAAUUGUUUAAUUGACUACUGGGUUGCUGUAUUGUAUUUCCUUUGCCUGUUUAUUUGGUUAUUUGUUUCUGACCUUUUUUUUGUAUUUAGUCUUUUUCUUUCAGGAGCAGAGCGCCAUAUUUUUUGGGGGGGGGCUAAGCACUUGUGGUGAGGUCCCUUCACUUUAUGCAUGUGAGUAACUGCACGGGGGACACCCUAGACUGCACCAUUUGUUUGCUGUGAAGAUUGCUGUAAAGGUUGCUGUGAGGUUUGCUGUGUUGCACCUGAGCUUGGCUGCUAACACAGAAGCUAACUGAUGUCAUCACGUGAUAUGUGACUCUCCCCGAGCAUUCUGGACGCCAUCCUGAAGUCAUUUAAAGAGGGAACAGAUAAUGUCUGAAGACAUGCAGCUGAACACCAAAAACAUGCUACAGCAAGAAGAGGAUGGGAGGCAACAUUAACUCUUCAUCCCUGGAGCCCCUGCAUCAAGGGGUGUUGCACCUUCCUGUGUAACCCUUACCCAGAAUCUUUUAUUGGCUGUUGUAUUUGUUAAAAACUUUGAAUAAUACACUUCAGUGUACAGUACCGUUUUGCUGUAAUUUAGAUCUAAUUAGCCUCUAAUAGGAUCUAGUUCAGGUUGAAUAGGGCGAACGGUGCAGACUUUAAUUUAGAGUAUGGUUUUGCUGUAGUUUAUACGUAAUUAGCCUCUAAUAAGAUCUACUUAAGGUUGACUAAGGAUCACUAUGUAUUACUACCUACAAAUGGGACUCCAGAGAAUGAGCCAUCCAGGCAACAAGGGAUUUGUUGGUGUUUGUUUAAUGUCUAAUAAAAUAUUUUACCUCCUGUUUUUGUCUAAUUUGUUGCGAAGUACAUGUUGUUUGCUCUCA